GGGAUUUUAGUUAAACACAAAAGAAUAACAUUUAAGUUGCAAUUAAAAAUUAAAUAUCUUAAUAUUUAAAUCUUA
rnacentral:tRNA from 1 species